rnacentral:rRNA from 1 species
UACAGAGGAUGCAAGCGUUAUCCGGAAUGAUUGGGCGUAAAGCGUCUGUAGGUGGCUUUUCAAGUCCGCCGUCAAAUCCCAGGGCUCAACCCUGGACAGGCGAUGGAAACUACCAAGCUGGAGUACGGUAGGGGCAGAGGGAAUUUCCGGUGGAGCGGUGAAAUGCGUAGAUAUCGUCUGGAACGCCGAAGGUGAAAACAGCUCGCUGGGGCUGCGCUGACGCUGAGACACGAAAGCCAGGGGAGCGAACGGG